GUCCACGCUGUAAACGAUGGGCACUAGGUGUCCGGGGUAUUGACCCCCUGGGUGCCGCAGCUAACGCAUUAAGUGCCCCGCCUGGGGAGUACGGUCGCAAGAUUAAACUCAAAGGAAUUGACGGGGCCCGCACAAGCGGUGGAGCAUGUGGUUCAAUUCGACGCAACGCGAAGAACCUUACCUGGGCUAGACAACGGUGGACCGUCCUAGAAAUAGGAUCUUCCCUUCGGGGACCGCCGGUUCAGGUGCUGCAUGGCUGUCGU
rnacentral:rRNA from 1 species